rnacentral:rRNA from 1 species
UACGUAGGGCGCAAGCGUUGUCCGGAAUUAUUGGGCGUAAAGAGCUCGUAGGCGGUUUGUCGCGUCUGUCGUGAAAGCCCACAGCUUAACCGUGGGUCUGCGGUGGAUACGGGCAGACUAGAGGCAGGUAGGGGAGAAUGGAAUUCCCGGUGUAGCGGUGAAAUGCGCAGAUAUCGGGAGGAACACCGGUGGCGAAGGCGGUUCUCUGGGCCUGUACUGACGCUGAGGAGCGAAAGCGUGGGGAGCGAACAGG